CCGACCUUAGCUCAGUUGGUAGAGCGGAGGACUGUAGUGAGUGCCGUAAUCCUUAGGUCGCUGGUUCGAAUCCGGCAGGUCGGA
rfam:Ipomoea nil DNA, scaffold: scaffold0482, cultivar: Tokyo-kokei standard.